rnacentral:piRNA from 1 species
UGAAAUGUGUAACCUAGAAAAUCCAUGGG